rnacentral:tRNA from 1 species
GCCGGCUUAGCUCAGUUGGUAGAGCACCUGUCUUGUAAACAGGGGGUCAUCGGUUCGAACCCGGUAGCCGGCA